GAUAGCCCAGAGCACCACAGAAGAAACAAAUAACAGCAAGGAAGAACAACCACCUGACCAAGCAGUAUCACAACAGGAGAUGCCACUGAUCUUAUCAAUGCCACAGAAUACUGGCAUGAGGACACCACCAGGGAGUAUGGAGAGAGAGUCCUCAUCACAUGCAGAGGACAAAUGUCCUGUUUUCUCUUUGGAGACUGCAUUGUUGACUGGAUCACAGAGUGAUAUAGAGAUAGGGAGUGGGGACAACAUGAAGGGAAGCUCAAACCUCAGCUCAGGCCAAGACCUAAAUCCUCAACUAUUUGUAUCUGAAUUAAAUAGAACUCAGGGUCUCAAAGAAGAAGCCCAGAACAACAAGGAAGAGGAAAUCUCUGCCCAACCAGCAUUACACUUAGAGAUGUCAUUGUUCAUGCCAAUGCAAGCAAUUAUUAGGAAGUUGACAUCACGAGGGAUUGUGAGGGUUCCCCCAUGCUCCAAAUAUAUUCCUUUUCCUGUGAAUCUUGGGUGUUCUUCUGGCCCACGGAGUGACACAGAAAAAGGGAGUGGUGACACUCUUCAGACUGCAGUAAGCUUUCUUGACAAUGCAGCAAAAGGUAAAGAAAGUGAUAACAUCAAGGAGGAGAAAAAAACCCUCCAUGAAGAAUCAGUGAUUGUAAUGGAACCUGAGAAGGAAACUGAGACUUGUGCCACCCAAACAGAGGAAGCAUCUACACUACUAGUCUCUCAUAAAGCAGUACAGAUCCCUGAAGAGACCAGUCUAAAAGCCCAAGACCCAGGAAAUGAAUUACAAAGCCCAGAUCCCUUUUGGUUUUUUUCAAACAUGAGUGGUCUGAUAGAGAAGGAAGAACAGUAUAAGCAAAGGCAGGAAGAGAAAAAACAAUUCAAACUGGAAAAGAAGAAAUUGGAGAAGAUGGAAAAAAUCAAGGAAGAGGAGAAUGAAAAGAAACAGAAUGAAGGAAGAGUGAAGAAAGAAAGAGAGAAAGAAGAGAGAGCAAAGAAUGGGAGAGUAAUGGGAGAGAAAGAUACAGGAAAGAUUGAAAAGCAUAAAAAGGAAAAAGAAGAAAAAGCAAAGAAAGAAAAAAUGCAAGAGAAGAAAGAAAGUUUAAAGAAAGAAAAACACAAAGAAGAGGAAGAGAGGAUGAAAAAAGAAAAAAGCAAAGAAGAAAAAGAAGAAAAAAAGAAAAAUAUAGAAAACUCAGAAGAGGAAAGAGAAGACAAAAGGAAGAUGAUUGAGGCAGAGAGAAUAGCUUUGCAAAAGCGACUCCAGCUGAAGGGAAGAAUGAAAGGGAUGAAGAACAGUGAGGUGUGGUGGCCCAAGGAGAAAAAGUUGAUUGGGAAGAUAGCAAUUCAGAACUUUAUACAACUUUUGCCAAGUUCCUCUACCAUCCUCAAGAGCCCAGACAUAGAAGACCAUGUCAACAGGCCAAAGAAGAGACAUAUGGACCUUCAGGAACAUCUGAACCAGAAAUUUGUGGGGCAGAAGGGGAAAGCAAAUAGAAAGGAAAGAAAAUGCAAGGGAAGAGGUAACGUCAGCAAUUCAGAAGAGGAAGACCAAGCUGAGAAGAACAAAAUUAAAAGAAUAGACAAGAAACAGAAAUUAGGGAUUGUCAGAGUUCUAAGAAGGAGAAGCAUUUGUUUCCAAAAGAUGACACUUGGAGACCUGCACCCACUGUAUACCCCACGCCCCUGCAGAAUCUAUCUGCUCACACUUGAAGGCACCCACACAGAGACAGCCACUAUCACCAAUGGAGAUAGACAGUACAGUCUUGACUCAGAAGAGAGAGAGAAAGUCACUCUUGAAGGGAGACUGAUGACACAGCUUGUGCAAAAGGGCGAGAAAACUACAAUACAGGAGACAUUCCCAAAAGUCAAAGAAAUGACUCUGAGUGUUCCAAAUCGUUUCCAUGGAUGUUGGAUUAUCUGUCAAGAAGGAAAGAACCUGAAUACAUUCAAAAAGCUACAGGCCACAUAUCAACAGCAACUCCUAAAGCAGAGAGAACUUACACCUGAUGGGGAGAGUACUGACCCUAAGAUCUGGAAAGGGUCAACCAAGACAACAGCAAUAGUUUCAAAUGAGAAAGUCAUUGGAGCAGCAAGUGAAAACCUUCCUCCUGCUGAGAAAAAGAAGACUUUGUCAGCACAUGAUUUGGUGAGAUUUGGUUCCAGGACCCUCGUGGGGGCCAGAAUAGCAAGGGAGGAAGAGAUGGGAGCAGUUCGAGUCAAGAAGGAGAAAGAGAAUAAACCUAUCAUUUUAACACACAACUUGGUGAGAUUCAGCUCAAGAACCAUAGUAGGGGCCAUAAAAGCAUCAGCUGUCACUGAAUGGUAAGUAGUUCCUGUCACACAAAAAUAUAAGGGAAAAGCUUCCGAACAUAUAUUGAGGGGAUACAAAAAGGGAU
ensembl:lncRNA